UAGCUGGUACCCUAGGCCUAGUCCCCA
rnacentral:piRNA from 1 species